rnacentral:ncRNA from 1 species
GUUUUAUUCUUGCUUGAGUAUUCAUUGUUUCUUUAUAUUAUAUGUAAGUUUUUAAAAUACUAAAUGUUCUUUUUGCAGUAAUUUAAUUUAAUUAUCAAGUUAUUUUGGAAUUAGUAAUUGAUUUAGUUUCGACAAAUUUUGUGCCAGCAGUCACGGUUAAACAUUUGAUACAAAUGAAUAUUAUUGGUUUGAGCAGUUAUUUUUUAUUUGAGUUAAUUAAUAAAUUUAUUAGGUGAAAUUUUAAUUUUUUUUAUAUCUCAUUUUAUGAAUCUGUGAAAUUUAAUUAAGAAACUAGGAUUAGAUACCCUAUUAUUUUAAAUGUAAAUAUUAUUAUCUGGGUAUUAUUAGUUAGGACCUUUAAACCCAAAGAAUUUGGCGGUAUUUUAUUCCAUUUAGAGGAACCUAUCCUGUAAUUGAUAGUGCACGAUUAACUUUACUUAAUUUAUUUGUUUGUAUAUCCCCGUUAUCAGAGGAUCUUUUUAGAGUUUAAAUUUUCUUAAUUUAUAAUUUUAAAUUAUUUCAGGCCAAGGUGCAGCUAAUAAUUAAGGAGAGAUGGGUUACAAUAGAUUUUUAUUUAUUAUGGAUUUAAUGAUGAAUGUUGUUAAUAAAAGUGGAUUUAAUAGUAAUUUGAUUUAUUUAAUUUAAUUGAUAUUGGCUCUGAAGUGUGUACACAUCGCCCGUCACUCUCAUUAUUAAUUAUAAGAUAAAUUAAUAUUUAUAUAUUUAGAUGAGAUAAGUCGUAACAUAGUAGAUGUACUGGAAAGUGUAUCUAGUAAGAUU